AGAAGGCACAGUGGGGAGUCUCCACGGCCACUGUCUUGCUGAAGUUCUGGAAGUCCACUCUGUAUUUCCCUUCUUUGGUCUUGGACACGAUGGGAGCGAAGCGGUACCCCCAGAGCACCUCCUCGGGGAUGUAGGACGUCCUCACCUGGCAGGUGGCACUGGUGGCCUCCACGGUGCCAUCCAAAAACACCACCAGCUCAAAGUCCUGCUGCAGGAGGGUUUCUGCUGCCAUGUGGAAGAAGGGGCUGUUCUUGUCUAUGAUGUGGUAAAUGGUGAGGGGUGAGAUGAAGAAGAGAUUCUCAUUGCCAGCGUCCACUACGAAUUCGAUGUUGACCUGGUCGAGGAUGAUGGUCUCCCCCUCGGGGGUGAUGGUGGUCUUCAACAGCUUCCCAUAGAUGUGGCUCCCAAUCAGCAGGCUCUUGCGGAGGUUGGCCACGCGGAUCAGGAGGCACAGCUUCCCCCCACGCUUGCUGAUGACAGCGUUCUUGCUGAAUGUGAUGGUCUUGGCCCGGUUCUUGGACCUGGAGAUCUUGGCCAGGAUGGCCCCACACAUGAAGGAGUUGAUGAUGACACCCAGGAUGGACUGGAAGAUGAGCAGAAAGAUGGCAGUGGCACACUGCUCUGUGACACACCUAAAGCCAUACCCAAUGGUCACCUGGGUUUCCAGGGAGAAGAGGAAGGCUGAGAGUACUGAGGAUGAGAGAGGGAAAAUCCCUCCUUGGACUUAACUGCAUGAGAGAUGCCCUGUCACUGAAUCCUCCUUUCAAGAGUUAAGCUGAGCCUACAGGCGAAAAGAGAAGGCUUGUACUGAUAAAGAGCCACGUUCCUGCAUUGACAGCUGUGUCUUUGUCACCUUCCCUGCACUCCUAAGCAAAGGAAUCCGUGGAAAAAAUGAGUGCUCUGAACAGUGGCACUGGCACCUGACUCAGAAGUAUCUGGAAUCUCUUCUGCUUGAAGCUCAAAAAACAGAACUUAAAAAAAACCCAACAUCUGUGUAGGAAAGUGUUUGAAGCCACUCAAGAACUGGUCAGCAGGUAACACCUGCUGAAGUUUUGUUUCCAGAUUUUAAGCUGGGUUUGUCUGGUACCAUCAGGUUUCUGCAGGACAUUGGAGCUCUUCACCCUUCUGAUGUACAUGGUAAUAAAAGUGUUAAUUAGUAGCUGCAACUCAGUGACAAAGCUGGCUAGAAGAAGGAGCACAGAUGUCCCAGGUACACACAACCUACCAAGGUUUUUCUCAGCAGCAAUUGAUCAAAUACUCUUAAAAUAAGCUCACACUUCAUUUCAUCCUCUGCGUGUUUCCUCUCACAUUUGUUUCCAAAUAAACACACUUCUGGAAGCUCUAAAAAGGGCAUUUAGGGAAGUUUAAGUUGUUCUCAAGGUCCUGAGAUUUUUCUAAAUUGCCAUGUGUGAAGUAUUGUCCUCAUAUCAACUCCAGACAGCCCCUGGGCUUUGCUGGGAGCACAGAGGUGUCUCCAUACAGGCUUUCCUCUGGAGCUUGUGACAUCCUGUUUGCCUGAGCCAGCCUGGGAGCUGGAUAAGGGGCAGGGUGGCACAGCCAGGCAUGGGGACUGUCCCCUGUCUGCCAGAGGCAGAAUAUCCGAACAAGAAAUGGCAGAUUGGGGUAUAUUUGGCUUACUUCAGUUGUCUUACUCAGGCCUGUGUUCAGCAUCACCAGCAAAAUUAAGUUUGGAAUAGAAUACGAUCUCUAGUUCUGGAGAACAGGUUCUGGAGAACCAGAUAUGGACUUCUGGUAAAUCUGUUGUCUGUGCCUCAGUUUUUCCACCCCUUGGGCUUCCCAGAUGAAGAAAGGAAGAGUUCUGUGUAGCUACAGCCCUUCCUCACUCUGCUCAGCAGCAGCCACUUCUUGUACUGCUGUUCCCAAAGUCCCUGGACAAUCCAAUGGGUUGAUCUUGCUGCUCUUCAGAAAUUCCCAGAUAUUGUCAUGCCUCUGCUUUCCUCUGCAGCAGGACCUGCUGAUGGAUCAUUGUCCCCUUUGGGAUGUGUCUCUGAGGUCACUCUUUGGGUCAAUGUCCAACUGACCAUUUUAGCCUUCCCUUCCUUCUACCUUCAGGAAUAAAUUCCAUCUGUUCCCUAAAUAGGCUGCCUGGCAGGCCUCAGCUGCAUUUCACAGACUUAGACUCAGGUUUUACUUGGGUUUGAUUAUUAUUGCUACUUUUACUUUGGACAAUGUCAGUAAGUGAUUUGAAAAGAAACAGUGCAGCACAAUCCUGUGAGGUAGAACAUUCUGUUGUGCUUCACACUGAGCUUCCUUAUCUGCAGGUCCCCAAGGGCUCCACGAGCAUUAAUAAAUGAAACUCACCCUCUCUUUGGGAAUGCAAGAAGGAAAGAGGCAGGAAGCAGUCACCAUUCUAUUUUUCAUAGAGGAUAACCAAGGCAGAGACAAGCAAAGCAAGGCAGAAAGCCUGGUUUGAUAUCCUGACCCACUGAAGUCAGGCACUGAUCUCCCCUGGGAGCCAUGAAGAAAGUGAGAGCACAUUGUGUGAAGGAAUUCCAGCCCUGCUGAAUUCCCUCGGCAGAUAAAGGCUGGGAUGGAGCCCUCGGUGAUAGGCAGAGUGAGGAAGUGAGCAACUUGUGCGGAAUGAUUGUUUAUUUAGUCAUCUCCCAAGACUAGGAGUGAGGUCCCAGAGGCUGCAAAGACACACGACAGGGUAGUGAGGAAUUCAGCACUUUCCUUCACAUGUAUUAUGCUCUUUGUUCUGCUCUUUCCCUGGGAAAAGGGUUAUCUCAGGUUGGUGUCUGAGGGUAGUUCACAGGCAGGUACAGCCUGGCAUUGUGAGAUUUAGGCAAAGCCUCCAUAGGAAGAGCUGGAUCCAGGAGCCAAAGCUGUAUUUCCCAGCAGCUGAAGGAGUUUGUGUUCCAUGAAGGCAGUGCCAAGGGGAACUGGAGCUCCUGAAUUCCUGCCUCCCUCAGGAGCUCCCCAGCCCUUUACCCUGGGAGCAGCAGAGCUGGGUGGAAACUUUGUCCUUGUUCCUCAGGGCAGCAGAGUGGGCUGGCAGUCCCACACUGCUCCCAGAAAAGUUGCCAUUCCUUUUGUGCAUGGCUGCUGUUAUCAGAAGGAAAAAGCAUGGAGCAGCCAGCAGGCUUUUUCCCUCAGCUGAGGCCUGCAGAUGCCUCGGUGCUCCCUUUGCAGCAGCACAAUUCCCAGAGAAUCAUGCAAAAACCCAGGCCUUGCUUUGGAAGGUGAGCACCUGAGGAAUAAAGGAUGGCUGAUUUCCAGGUGAGGGAGCCAUCCAGGGAGUCACCCCGGAGGGCACUGGCAACAGGCAGGGGAAGAAAAGCAGCCUCAGGCAGCAGCUCAGCCUGAUCCAUGUGCAGCAGCACUGGCAGGGGCCUGGAAAAGAAGGCUGGAGAAACCACAGGGGCAGUGACAAAGUGGCUCUCCCUACUUCAGUUUGGGCUAAAUUGCUCUGGGUGCCACACAGCUUCCCUCAGGAGGCAGCUGGCUCCAGAGCCUCUGCCUUCCUGCUGGAAUAGGAGGCAGGAGUUCGGCCAGCUCUGAGUCAGGUUGGCUCCUUAUCUCUCUCAACCUGAUAAAAGCCUACCAGGCUGGCUAAAUGAUACACUCCUGUGCCCUUCCUCUUACAAUGUGUCCAUAUCCUGAGGUCUCUUUGUGCCAAAGUUUCACCUUUACACAGUUUUUAUUCCACAGAGACUCUUUUCUGAAGAGGAACUUGAUUUAUGCCCAGGCAUAAAUCAUACAGGAACCUCCAGCUCCUGUACCAAGGUUUUUGGGAGGUCUUCAUCACUCACACUGAGGUGAAACUUGAUUCUGCACAACCUUUUCUGAGGAUGUGCCAAAGUGUGUUUGUCCUGCACAGUACUUUCUAAAACUCUGAACUCUAUCUCAUAUGUAGGUAAAGAACUUAAAGUCAGCAUGCCUUUGCCAUCAAACUAUGGACAAAGACCUUAUUUCAGUAAAGCUUCUGCUUCUUCCUUAGACUCAUGGAAUGGUUUGGGUUGGAAGGGACCUUAAAGAUCAGCUGGUUCCAACCCCUGCC